UUUUUUCUACCAAGAUCCGUCGUCCAAACACCACUUCGUAUCCACUUCUUCCUCUUUUUUAUGUCUUCGUUUCUCUCUUCGCGUCGUUCUCUGACCGGGUGAAACCGGGCUUAGCUUCUAGUAUAUAUAUAUAUGUGUGUGUGUACGACGCACUUUCAGUUUCUGUCCACCAAAUCCACUUGCAGGGCUUUGGUCAGCUCGAGGCUAUAGUGGAAGACACUUACCCAAGGUGCUACGCAGUGGGACUGAACUCGGAAUCAUGUGAUUGGGAAGUAAGCCUGGCCGGCAUUGAGCAAGGACGUGUCUAGCUGUCUCUCUCCAUCUUUCGAACUCACGCUAGACAGCUCACAUCAACAUACCAACGUCCCAGCAACCAUGUUCUCACACACAGAAGGCGUCUCAACAACCAAGAGUAAAGCUGUCUAUUUUCCACCUUAAAUAAAUAUUGUUUGUGUUGAUA